rnacentral:rRNA from 1 species
CAAUAGCGUAUAUUAAAGUUGUUGCAGUUAAAAAGCUCGUAGUUGGAUUUCUGGUAGGAGCGACCGUGCCGAACUUGAUUGUUCGAGUAUUGUGUUGUCUUCAGCCAUCCUCGUGGAGAACUUUUCUAACAUUAACUUGUUGGGAUUGGGACCCGCGUCGUUUACUGUGAAAAAAUUAGAGUGUUUAAAGCAGGCAUUAGCUUGAAUACAUUAGCAUGGAAUAAUAAGAUAGGACUUUGGUACUAUUUUGUUGGUUUGCAUACCAAAUUAAUGAUCAACAGGAACAGUUUGAGGAUAUUCGUAUGAACAUGUCAGAGGUGAAAUUCUUGGAUUUUGAUCAGACGGACUACUGCGAAAGCAUUUAUCAAGGAUGUUUUCAUUAA